UCACAUGUGCAAGGCAAGCACUCCACCACGGAGCCUCAAUCCCAGACCCAACUAUUCCAGUUUUUAAAUAACUUUUUUGAUACUUGUAAGGAUUGUCAUAUACACACCCUUUCCCCACCACUUCAGGUUCCACUCUUUUCCAGCCUAAGCACUUGUAUCUUCCUGGCCUCUGAUUACCUGGGAGCCUCCACUCUGAAUGCCCACUCCUGAGAGGUGUCUGCAGCUUUGAACUUUCCACAGUUCAGCAUUGAUCUAGGUUUCUAGACUUUCAGAGGUCUGUCCUUUCUGCUGGGAGACAACUAAUUUGAACCCAAAUGCUCAUGAGCAAUGCUAGGAUUUGUUUUUACUUAGUGAUAAUUUGAAAUCAGGAUGCAAGCAGGUGUGCAGAGCAUUUCCCAGCCCCUCCCCAGUCACAGGGCACCAGGUAGCUCUUCUGACAUCACCCCUCCAGAGCCAUCCACAUUAAGGAGGGUCUGCUGAAGGCAUCACUGCAAAUGCCGUACUAUGGCUAACAUGUGCUGAAAAUGCUGCUUCUUUCAUGGAUCUCAAAUACACCUGUGCCAAUCAGUGGAAAACGAUAGGUAAACCAGCCUUAUUUUGUGAAUUGGUCCUUGGAGAAAGGGAAUACAGCAGUGUUCUAAUAACUGUCCUUGGGAGAGUGGGGAGAGAUGGGAGAACAAGUAGAACAACUGUUGCGGUGAUCACCACCACAGGCACCCCACAGUCAGCAAAAUGGAGCCAGAAUCAAGGGCACAGAAAGGUCCACAUCAGCUGAGUAGAGGCAGGGAGAUGAUGGCUUCAGCAUGGGAUAGGGCCCAAGUGGUGACGAGGAGUAACUCAACGGUAAAGAGAGGUCAGAAGGGGGCGAGUUCCUGUUAAAUGCUAUGAUUCUCCUGUAUGUCUGUUUUGAAGCACAAUAGGAUAAUUAAUGAAGGUAUCUUAUGAAUGUACACCUGAGCUGUUUCUUUGAGAGAAAUAAGUGUGUCAUCAUUUAGAACAUGAAAACCACUUGAGUUUUUCUCUGCUAUUUAGUGAUAAUCGCUAUUGGCAUCUCACAAACACAAGACUGAUUUUGAAACCAGAGUGGGAAAGGGGAUAAUAAGAUGACACAGGUGUUUAAAGGUGAUGAGACUUGGGUGAGGAUCCUAAGUGAGGAUCCUAAGGGAGUGGAAGUGGUUCUCUAGAUGUCUAAGCAAGACUGCUAAAGAAAAUGUUCUUGAUUAUUUUUUCCUUUGGCCAAAUUUUUGUAGAUAAUUCAUGUAUCUCUAUUUCAGUGUCCAUGGUGGGCAAUGACAUGUGUGUUGUAUUAUUAAUUUAGGAUGUAUGCUUACAUGUUUGAGUUAAUAUUUAGUUCUAGGAAUUUAGCUCAGUUUGAGCUUAAUUUUAGUCACUAACAUUAUUUUUCAUUAAUUCUCUUACUACACUGCCCAUAAUGCUGGAAAACAAAGCCAAAUCUAAUUUAGGUAGGUCUGAAGCAGAAAAGAGUGAGAAUUUGGCGGCUAAGUAGGCCUAGUUUUAAAUCCCCACUUUGCCAUUGUUUACCUGUGUUUGUUAUGAGCAAGUUGUUCCAGCUUCAGUUUGUCUAAUGGUAAAAGGAGGAGGCCUUCCCUGAGGGCUGUGGUCAAGGUAAACUGAGGUAUGCAAAGAGAGACACCUUGGCCUUGAUUUUAUAUAUAAAAGCUUUAGGAUUGACUAUGUAGGCCCAAUUUACAAAAUCAACCAUAGCCUGUUGGAAAAUGUUCGUGUUGCCAUCUUUUCUAGAUCUUCAUGUUUACUCUGAGCUUAUCUCCAGAAACAACAGUUUUCCAUUCUCACCCCAGUUUAUUUGAACAUAAUUUUUUAAUAAAUAUUUUUUAGUUGUAGUUGACACAAUACCUUUAUUUUAUUUAUUUAUUUAUAUGUGGUGCUGAGGAUCGAACCCAGGGCGAGCUAGGCGAGCACUCUACCACUGAGCCACAACACCAACCCCCCUAGAACAUAAUUUUAAAAGAAUCUACCUCUCUCACCUGUUUAGCCUGGCAUGCAAGGCUCCUUAUAUUUUGUCUCUGGUCUGUGUCUCAAGGUCUUGUGUGCUUGUUCAUGAUUAUAAUAGGUUCCUAGCAUGCCAUGAUGAUUUAACAUCUCCAGGUCUUUGCCCAUAUGGUUUCCUUUAUCUGGUUUCUUCUCCCCAUCUGCUGAAUUCCAAUUCAUCUUUAAAAAUACUCAGCUGUCCCUGACCAUUGAUUCCUUUCUUCAUUGCUUCAACAGGCAUCGAUCGGCCUAUUGUUUGUCAGGAACUUGGUUGUACAAGAUAAGAAAAUGCUGUAAAGCUUCAUGGUACCCCUCAGAAAGAGUUAAUCAUUUCCUUCUUGAAAACUCCUUGAACAUAUUUCUAUUCCAUAUCAUACUGUAUUGUCAUUAUUUGCUUAUGUUUCUCUCCUCUAUAAGAUUAAGUUCCCCAAAAGUUAAGGUCCAAAUUCUAUUUUUUCUCUUUUACAUAGGUCUUAUAACAUAGUAAGUAUGCAAGAAGGUUUGUUGGAAUAAACUAAACUGUGAACAAAAGAGAUAUACAUGAUAUCACCCUGAAAUCUGAAGUUUGCACACACAGGAGAAGUGUCCAAAAUGAUUGGUCCAGAUAAUAAGUUGAAAAAAGAAAGGAUGUAAGCUGGAGUUGAGAAAAGUUUCAUGAAGGAACUGUUUCAUGAAGUUCAUGAAGGAAGUGUGGGUCUUGAAUUAGACUUCACAGAACAGAUGUGAACAAACAUCCUAAAACUUGUAUGGAAGCACAAAGGACCAAGAAAAGUCAAAAUGACCUUGAUUAAGAAAAAAUGGUGAGACUUAUUCUGCCUGAUAUCAAGACUAGCUGUAAAGCUAUCGUGACUGUGACAAUGUCAGGUUUGUGCUAUGAACACAAUAAUUAGGCCAAUGGAAUGCUGAGAGUCAUCCUUGAACUGUGUGUGAACUAAAGUGAUGUGGAAGCCAUUAGUCAGGAAAGCCUGGUACUGGGAACUACCAGCAGCAAUGCUGCUGGUUUGAAGAUGUUUGGUUCAUGUGGCUUCCUACCUAGAUCCAUCAAAAGUUCAGCACAUCACCGGAGAUGGGAUGACCCACUGGAGCCACAACCUGUUUUCUGCAAGACCCCUGCAACACUGAGAAGGAAGAGCCAAGACUACCAAGACUCCUCCUGCUGAAACCUGUCUCUGCCUUUCAUGUAUUCCCCCUUAAAUAAAGAAUUGGAGCCAUUUUUUAGUUGUUUAGUUCCAACUCCUAUCAGGACUGUAAGAUCUAUUAGACGUUCCGCUUUUUAAAAUCUAA